CAGCAUCUCCCCGUGCUCCAGCAUCUGCUACCCAGAGAAAAUCUCUAGCAGAGAAAUAUGUGCAUGAUGCUUUUACUGGAAAAAACUUCUUUGUCCUUCUGUCAAAAGUGAAUGCAUAUAAGUUGUUUUACUUUGACAUUAUAAAAUUGGUCCUGACAUGGCACUGGAGAGUCAGUCUAUUAAUGCAUUUCUGGCUGUCAUCGUGAAGGAAUACAACAGCAAGAACACAGGACAGGCUGUGUUCAUAGAUUCAUUUGCAAUGACAGCAAUGUGGCAGGGAAAAAGUCCUAGUUUA